CCUGGCUUCCCUUCCCUUUGUCUUGCACUUUAAGGACAGAGGAGCAAUUGUAGGAAGUCCUGUUCUUACAGCUCAGGACUUGGGGAGCCUUCAGGCUGGCAGAGGGCCUGGGAUGAGCAGAAGGCAGGGAAGCCGGUGAGGAGGCCAGUGCAACAGUUUAGCCAAGAAUUAACCGCAGCUACAGAGGAAAGCCGCAUUUCCACACGGAGGUGACGGAGGCUGGUAACCAUCGUCCCAGCGAACGCACAGAGGUUACCCCCAGCACAGUGCUGAUGUGAGGAAGGGAUGCGAGGUUGACAGACACAACCAGAAAAAAUGGAAACCAGCUGAGUCAACAGAGUUCUUACUUGCCCCAAAUGGAGGCGUUUAUGGAAUUAAAGAAAGUUUAUAGAGACAUUUCAAGUUGGGUUUCCCGUGAAUGAAUUGGGAAGAAAGUGGGUGGAUAAGACCUGAAUGGAACUGGACUAUCUUCAUUUACAUGAUCCACCAAAAAUCAGGACCCUUUAUGGGAAACAGGAAGACUUUGUUUGGAAGAUGGGUCUGGGGGAUUUGAAGAAACUUCAUACCAGAAAACCCUUUGAAUGUGCCCUGGACUGAAAUAUGGUUUCCCCAGCCCUGGCCUUGGGGUGGACAUUUCAGAGAAGAUUCUUGAACAGCAAGGUUUUCUUCUCCAAAAUUAUGAUCCUAAUAAUCCAAAGUAUACAGUCAUGGCAGCUCAGGCAGCCCAACUUUGACAACAGAGUUAGUGGACCAGUGUUUUUAUUUGUAGCUUCAUUAAUCAAGGAUCUUCAUUAAGGUGUUAUAUUCCAAGGCUGCUUCCUCUACACAAUAUAGAUGGGGUGAUGUACAAAUUUUCUUGCUCAUGAUGUUCAAAUAUAUUGAAAAGACUAAAGCUCAUUAAGUUGUUGGCACCCAAAGAUCAGUUACAUUUAUAUCUGACACCUGUAAUAUUCUUAUUUUUCUCUACGUCAAUCACACCCAUGCGUUGAGCACCUUCUAGGAGGGCGGUGUUUCAGACUGGCAUACGGAAGCCUUAGAUGUGGUCCUUGCCCUCAGGAAACUUCAUUAAGGAGACAGAAGAUAUGAAACAUUAGUGAACAAUUCAAGGCAGGAUGUGAUAAAGUGCCAAAUGAGGAAGAAUAGAAAAACCUAGAGAAAUUGAGAGAAAAUAGACGGCAAAUGAGAAAUGAGGCUUCCUAUUUUAACAGGGAUCUUGAAUCUGUGUUCUGAAGGAAGAAUUUGGCAGUUAUGGGAAGAAAAAUUCCAGCCCAUCAAUAAAAAGAACUGAGUUGGGAAAGCGAACCUAGUGCGGAUGCUGGAAGCAUGCAAAGAGAGACUGAAUAUCAUUUGUUAAGGAUACGGCAAAAGGACUUCCCACACCACAUAAAUUAAAUGACAUCUUCAACUCUCUUGGAUCUAUGAAGUGGUGAUGUGCACAGUUACUAGAACAUCAGCUCAGUCUGGAUCUCCCAGAGGAGCAGGACCUUGCUGGACCUCAAAGGAUGAAUGGCCUCUAGAUGGGCCCCUCCCCUCCUGUGUGUUCCCCUACCACCCCACCCCUACCUGGAAGAGGAGGACCUAUGGCAGAGCAGUAUCUAUGACAACAGAGGCCAAGGACAUAGAAUUAAGUGUCCAAGAUAGAUGCAUUCAUGGUAUACUUAAGUUUAGAAGCAAAUGCAAUGCCUGGAAUAGAGGUGUCUGGAGUCUUCAAAGUGUGUCACAAGUUGUUAGGCCACAUGCCAGAACAGAGACGAAGGGCCUCUACCGGGCUGGGCAGCUCUGACUGCUUGCUUUCUUGGCCCAGGACAACGUGAAGUUCAGCCACGUGGAGGAACCCUACGGGCAGAGUGAGAGAACGAGAAUCGUGAUGACAGCCACGCUACUCUGGCCGGUUCUACUUUGUGCCCCAUCAGUGAAGCAAAUGACAGGGUAGGGGUGUGUAUGGUUGUGGUGAUUGGAGGGGCUGUUUGGUUUUUGUUUAAACUAGUAUGAGUUGGUUUUUGUAAUUUAUACCUGAAAGAGUUGUAAGUUGCUUCAGCGUGCAUGUAAUGGAUAGGGUACAGGAUUUGGAGUGAAGACCUACAUUCAAAGCCUAGAUCCGGUUCCUAUUAACCGUGUUCAAGACCUAGAACUUGUCCAAACCUCAGCUUCUUCAUCCGUAUAGAGUCCAAG